GUCAACCACCCAUCACUUCCCUUCGUAAGUGAGGGGUUGUAAAAGCCUAGUUGACCAGACUCAGUUCUUAACCGAACUACGUUAGAGGUAAGAGUUAAAGACCUACCAGGGGAUGCGUAGCUAGUUCCCUGCUCUAGAACUUAAAAGUUAAACAGAUCUAAGGGUUAAACCAGUGCUUUUGAGAUAGUUACCGACCUCUAACAUUGUCGUUCGCGCAGCGUGCCGUAGGCAUCAGCUAACAUUAC
rfam:Anabaena sp. CRKS33 3363, whole genome shotgun sequence.